GGCUCUGGGGCCGGUGGGCAGCGGCUCCAGCCCGCGCCCCUCGCCCCGCUCGACGCCGCCCGGGCUCCGCUCGCCUCAGCCCGCCCGCCGCGCCUGUGGAGCGCCCCGUGCUGCCGCCAGGGGGCGUUAAAGGUGUCCAUCAAAUUUAAUCCAUGCAAAAAUACCUAUGUGGACAUACAGAGAAACUGAGGCAACCAUGGUGAGGGAUGAAUUUGCCUCAUGCUCUAGCACAUCACCAGUGUGCAGUGUAAAGUCUGGACGCUUCUGCAGCGACUGCAGCCGCUCAGCCCGGAGAGACUGACCCCGAGCAUCCCAGACAGCGAGGCUUGGAUUUUCUGAAGCUUUACGAACCUACUCCUCCCUCUGAUGAAAAAGCGAACUGCAGGCACUCGGAAUCGCUCCUAGAGCCUUCCAUUUUCUCCCCUGCCACAAACUGAGUUGCAGGGAUGUCUCAGCAAACAUACCUUUUGAUUCUGUAAUACCUCCUGCCUGUGACUCACUCAGCAGCAUUUAGCAGACAGAGCAGGAAAAACAAAAGGAAUUUCAGUAACUGGAAUGAAUAGGAAAAAUCUAUUUUUUUAAUCUUAGUAGAAAAACUGAAGAUGUGAGCAAAGGAACACAAGAGGAAUGAAAGAUUCCCCCUGCCCCGUGCUAUAAAUAUUUCUGAAUGUACUUUAACAUGAAUCCCUAAAAAUGCAUGUGGCCAAGCAUAUGUGUGUUUCUAUGUAUGGCUAUCAACAUAACCACAGUUGUGUAUGCUGAUUUUGUCACCUCAUGCAAAUAGGACUCCCAGUUUAGUUAGCAUAAUUAGAAAUAGACAUUUGAGAGCUGGAUUCUGUCCUUCAUUCCUUGCCCUUGCAAAAAUAACAUAUCUAGUCCUCAGAGGAAAAAAGAGGCAAAAAUGUGGAAAGCAAUUAGCUUAUGAGGUUCUAAGUUACUUGCAAACUGUUUCUGCUGACUCCAGGUAGUGUGAAUGUUUAGAAUAUUUCACUGUGGGUCUUGAAGUGGAUAAUUCUGGCCUUUGGGGUUCCUAAAAAUGGUUAUAAAAACAGGUAAGAAUUUAAAUUGAAUGGUUAAAAGUUCCAAAAAGAAACUGGCCUAGGAUUGUCAUUGUCCAUACUAAUACUACAUGAUACAGCUGAUCAAUAGUUUAAAAUAUUAACUAAAAUUAGCCUCUUGCAUUUCCAUAACUAUCUAAAGCUGCAUAUGGAGAUAGAAAACGCUUAAGUAUCUAUUUUCUAGGUACUUAAGUGCUACUAUAGUAGCAAUGGUACCACAGUAACAUCAUCAAUCUCUUGUAGUAUCAGUUACUCAGAGAAAAAAAGUUGAUUUCUAAUGCUCCUAUUAAUUGCAAAAGCUAUUUGAAAGAAAAGCAGCCUUUAAUUUUUGAGUUUUCAAAUGGAAUGCUUUUCUUUGUAGAAUAACAUAGUGAGAUGCUUCUGCAUCUUCUGUGCUUAAACUGAAUUGGUGUGCAAAUCCCCCAAAAAGAGGUAAAAGAAGGUAAAUCUGGUGUAUAAGACACUAGGACAGUAUUCUUGUGAGUGUAACUCGCCAGAAGCCAGAGUAUACAUAAGGAAAGAAAGAAGCUGAAUGUUUUACUCCAUUAAGAAUGGGAUCUGCGCAUGGAUGUGAGUUUAAAUUAAUAUUUUAAGAGCAACAAAGAUGAGUUCUCUGUGCUUUCUGCAUCCAGUGAGAUGUCAUAAAAUAGCUCCUGGUAUAUAUUUUAGCUUGUGAGACUGAAAAUUGCUAAUAGGAGCUGAUUGACCACAUGGUAAAAUGGAUAUAAAAACUAUUUUUACCUCUUGUGGGCCUGUCAAGGACUAAGACUAGGUUUCUAGAACUAUAUUACACAAAAUGAGGGAAAACAUCCUUUAAUGCACAUAUCAUUUUGGUUUGAAAUGUUGUGUGAAUCCAGUCAUCCUCCAGAUAAAACAGACAUGGAAAACAGUGUAAUUCCAGUAACUAAUAUCAGCUGUUAAGACCGUGUCUGGUGAAACUUGACCCAUUCUUUCAGUACAUAGGCCCCCAAACUAGGAAAAGAAAGUACUUUAAAGCUCCAUAUGCUUUUUCUCUAAGAAGUUUGUGAGGCUUAAAUACAUUAUGGUGAGAACGAGUUAUAUCCUGGUGAAAUGGAUGAGUAAUCACACCAUCCUUGCAGAUUGCAGAGGAAAUUGUGGGCACUGCAGUAUGUUGGUGCUGUCAUAGGCGCUGAGAAACUUGGGUUUUCAAAAGUGAUGUGGCUCCACCAAGGGUUGCAUACCAAGUCUUUUUCAAAGCCAAAAUUAAAACAUAAAACUGCACAGUGCAGUCAUAUGGUGGAAAUUAGAAAUCUCUGGUUAUCUGCAUGCCUGAUCCCUGGAAAAAAAUUCAUAUAGCCCAGCAAGAACUUGGCUGUAUAAUACAAUCCAGCUCCUGAAUAAAAAGCAUUCGUAUGCUCUGUCCUCUAAUCUGCCAAAGGAUUUCAUAACCCUGAUCUAAUCAUACAGAGGUGUAGUGCAGGUUGCCUUAUAGUCAUGAUCCAACAACUCCACUGACUAUAGUGUCUGCAAUGCAGGAUGUUCUCUGGUCCUUCUCUUAGCUUGAACUUCUAAAUCUUACUCUGUUUCAUUCAUUCCCAUUGCCAAUGAGGCACUCCCAGGCCUAGGGGAUACAUGGGUUGGUUUUGAGUGAUAAUGCUGUAGUCUGCAUUGUGCCUCUUUUUGAGGUUCUGUGUAUUCUCCCAUUAUGUAUUUGCCACUGCACACUGAGUAGUGAGAUGCUUAAUUAUUGAAAGGGAGAUGUUCUUUGCAGGAAAAAACAACUGUCAGUGGAUGGCACGUCAAGGUCUGCAUUCCAGUGAUCACUGGGCACUGACAGCAGCUUUCAGCUGUCAGCCUGACACACUGUUUUGUUGUUUGUAGUGAAGGAAAGGAUCCUAACCCAAUUUUCUACAGUUCCCUUAUAUCUCUGUAUGACUUUCAAAGUAAACGGUGUGAUUACAUUAAACUGGAGCUUUAUCUUCUGCAUUCAAUUAAACCUUCUUUGAUAGGUGUGAUGUUCACAUUUGGACCUAAAGGCAUGUCUGAAAUCAAUCUUUGGGUUGUAGGUUGAUGGACCAGCACGUCUUUUUUGCUUCCUAUAGCCAUAAUCCUGUCUUGUGUUGUACAGGCACAGGACUAAAUCCAGAUUUAGUGUCCAGAUUUGUGUUCAAGGCAGUAGACCUAUGGACUAUUUAUAAAUUCAAAAAUGUUGUUUAUUUAAUGAUUUGUAUGUAGGGCCUCAGAGAGAAAAGCCCAGUCUAUGAGGGCAGCCUCUAGACUAUGUCAGAACAUAAAAUCUAACAGUGAAUAAGCUUAGUUACUUGCAUAUUUCAUUAGCAUGGCAAUUUGUAGAUUUCCAAAUGUAACAUACAAAGAAUACUUACAAUAAUUUUAGUUGUAGAAUUAAGAACAGAGGACAUCAAUUUCAGAUUUACAUUUAUCUAUACAACCUGAAUUCUGCCUUUCCCAGGUCUGGCUAAUUUAUGUACUGGGAUUGUAGGAUUAACCCUCACCCCCACUGCUGCAAAGCAGCCAGGCCAGUGGCUGCUCUAGCAGCACAAUUACAGCAGAGGAUGAACUAUGCAAAAUUAUUUCUAAAAGACUCCAUGCAUGUUUUUUUUCUCCAUGUGUAUGUUCCCUAGGAUGACAUUUAAGUUUUCAUGCUUAACAGGAAAUCAUUUUCUCUGUGUGCAGACAGCCAUAAAGGGCUCUGGACAUAAACAGGGCCCCUCAUUGAUUAAUACAGAUGAUCAUCUCCAAAUUCAAGAUUAGAAAAUCAGGAUGGUAUAGAAAGGACCAAAGGAAAAAUCAACAUAUGCUGCUGCAUUUAAAAUUACUAAUCAUAACUGUAUAUCACCAGUAACUGUCUGUGUUCAGCUUAUAAUGCUUUCAGGUAAAAAUCAAUUCCAAGGACUUUAUGAAUCAAGUAAUCUUUACUGGCAUGAAUAAAAAGACUAUAAAGUAAA